rnacentral:rRNA from 1 species
UACGUAGGGACCGAGCGUUGUCCGGAUUCAUUGGGCGUAAAGAGCUCGUAGGCGGCUGUUCAAGUCGAACGUGAAAACUCGGAGCUCAACUCCGAGCCUGCGUUCGGGACUGGAUGGCUAGAGUCUGGUAGGGGGAUCUGGAAUUCCUGGUGUAGCGGUGGAAUGCGCAGAUAUCAGGAGGAACACCGGUGGCGAAGGCGGGAUCCUGGGCCGGCCCUGACACUGAGACGCGAAGGCGUGGGGAGCGAACGGG